rnacentral:rRNA from 1 species
AUUGAACGCUGGCGGCAUGCCUUACACAUGCAAGUCGAACGGCAGCACGGGAGCAAUCCUGGUGGCGAGUGGCGAACGGGUGAGUAAUAUAUCGGAACGUGCCCAGUCGUGGGGAUAACGCAGCGAAAGCUGUGCUAAUACCGCAUACGAUCUAAGGAUGAAAGCGGGGGAUCGCAAGACCUCGCGCGAUUGGAGCGGCCGAUAUCAGAUUAGCUAGUUGGUGAGGUAAAGGCUCACCAAGGCUACGAUCUGUAGCUGGUCUGAGAGGACGACCAGCCACACUGGAACUGAGACACGGUCCAGACUCCUACGGGAGGCAGCAGUGGGGAAUUUUGGACAAUGGGCGCAAGCCUGAUCCAGCAAUGCCGCGUGCAGGAUGAAGGCCUCCGGGUUGUAAACUGCUUUGUACGGAACGAAACGGUCUACCCUAAUACGGUGGGCUAAUGACGGUACCGUAAGAAUAAGCACCGGCUAACU